rnacentral:tRNA from 1 species
GGAUUUGAAGCCCUUCACCUGUGGUUAGCACUCAGGACUUUGAAUCCUGCGACCCGAGUUCAAAUCUCGGUGGAACCU